GUGGGCGUGCCCAGCCUACUGGCGCCGUCGUCCCGCUCCGGCCGGCUGCCGUUCUGCGCCAACGCCACCACCUCCGGCCGCGUCACCAUGUCCGCCGAGUGGAUGCCCGGCCAGCCCCGCCCCGCCCACCUCGACGGCUCCUCUCCUGGGUAAUACUCACGGCCAAUCACCACGACGACGCCGGCGUCGAGGCUGAUGAACUGACGAGUGAUGACUGACGAUGCUUGUGUCUGUUUUCCAGGGACUUCGGCUUCGACCCCCUGGGCCUCGCCACCGUUCCGGAGAACUUCGAGCGGUUCAAGGAGUCCGAGGUCUACCACUGCCGCUGGGCCAUGCUCGCCGUGGUACGCCGCUGUGCUGCCUCUCUGAUUACUUACGAUCAUGUCAUGAACUAUGGCAUGGACCUGACCGAUGAGCUUUGCAAUUGUGUGGCAUGCAGCCCGGGAUCUUGGUGCCUGAGGCGCUGGGCCUUGGCAACUGGGUGAAGGCGCAGGAGUGGGCGGCCGUCCCCGGCGGGCAGGCCACAUACCUGGGCAACCCGGUGCCGUGGGGCACGCUGCCCACCAUCCUGGUGAUCGAAUUCGUGGCCAUCGCCUUCGCCGAGCACCAGCGCACCAUGGAGAAGGACCCCGAGAAGAAGAAGUACCCCGGCGGCGCCUUCGACCCGCUCGGCUUCUCCAAGGACCCCGUCAAGUUCGAGGAGUACAAGCUCAAGGAGAUCAAGAACGGUGAGUCUCCUGGUUUUGUGUACUAUAUGAUCUCGUUGUUGUAGUGACAGCCUCCCACUCCAUUGAUCAUACGCUAACCACUGGGCAUCGUCUAAACGAUUGUGCAUGAUGAUGAGCAGGCCGGCUUGCGAUGUUGGCGUUCGUGGGGUUCUGCGUGCAGCAGUCGGCGUACCCCGGCACCGGGCCGCUGGAGAACCUGGCUACCCACCUCGCCGACCCGUGGCACAACAACAUCGGCGACAUCAUCAUCCCCAGAACGAUCUACCCUUGAGCUGAGAUGAUUGUGAGAGAAGAGGAUGAGACGAGACAGGAGAUGGGGCUGUGCUGGGAGUGUGGAUGAUGUUCUAUGUGUGUGAUUGGUUGGUUACUGGGCACUGCCUGCGUGCGUGCAGGAACUGUACAACGAACAACGACGGCGACUUUCCGGCCGGCCGGGAACCCCUUAUAAUGUAAAGCUUAUUAUUAUUAAGUAGCGGCUACCCUUAUGAAUCCACCCAAGUUUUGUGCCAAAACCAAACUAUAGCUUUGCUAUGUUCCCCAUUGUUUUGCCGAAGGGCAAAUCAGAGGAAGUUCAGCGUGUGUUUGAUUUGGGAUCAAAUGAGAUGUGUUGGAUUCAUCCUACUUUUCUUGGUCAGGUUCAAUCCGUCUUGUGUUUGGUUGGGAGGGAUGUGUCCAUCUUGGUUUUUUUGAAAGGUGA
rnacentral:lncRNA from 1 species